rnacentral:rRNA from 1 species
GCUAACUACGUGCCAGCAGCCGCGGUAAUACGUAGGUGGCAAGCGUUGUCCGGAUUUAUUGGGCGUAAAGCGCGCGCAGGCGGUCCUUUAAGUCUGAUGUGAAAUCUUGCGGCUCAACCGCAAGCGGUCAUUGGAAACUGGGGGACUUGAGUGCAGAAGAGGAAAGCGGAAUUCCACGUGUAGCGGUGAAAUGCGUAGAGAUGUGGAGGAACACCAGUGGCGAAGGCGGCUUUCUGGUCUGUAACUGACGCUGAGGCGCGAAAGCGUGGGGAGCAAACAGGAUUAGAUACCCUGGUAGUC